UGUGUGUGUGUGUGUGUGUGUGUGUGUGUGUGUGUGUGUGUGUGUGUGUGUGUGGUUCAGAGUCCUGGAAGAGAAGAAGCAGGACGUGUGAGCCCAGAGGCUAAGAGUUUGUCAGAGGAGAAAGAUAACAGCGUUGCAGCAUUUUCACACAAGGAUGAAGAUGACGAUGAUUUCUGGUGAGCUGCUUGUUUUUCCGGACACCGAUGAGUUACACAACUCUCUGCAGCCGUGUGGGGUUUUCAACAAGCAAUUGUUUAGUUUAGGAUUUUUCUUUUUGGUAUGUGUGUUUGUUACAAUUUGUACAAGUGUCUGUGUUUGAAUAAAUCAUUUUGGGUUUUUUAUUA